rnacentral:rRNA from 1 species
GACGAACGCUGGCGGCGUGCUUAACACAUGCAAGUCGAACGGUGAAGGGACUGGUUUUGCUGGUCCUGGAUGAGUGGCGAACGGGUGAGUAACACGUGAGUAACCUGCCCCCUUCUUCUGGAUAACCGCAUGAAAGUGUGGCUAAUACGGGAUAUUCUGGGUCUGUCGCAUGGUGGGCCUGGGAAAGAUUGCGCCUUUUUUGGUGUUUUUGGUGGGGGAUGGGCUCGCGGCCUAUCAGCUUGUUGGUGGGGUGAUGGCCUACCAAGGCGGUGACGGGUAGCCGGCCUGAGAGGGUGGACGGUCACACUGGGACUGAGACACGGCCCAGACUCCUACGGGAGGCAGCAGUGGGGAAUAGUGCACAAUGGGCGCAAGCCGGAUGCAGCGACGCCGCGUGAGGGAUGGAGGCCUUCGGGUUGUGAACCACUUUCGCCAGUGAAGCAGGCCUGCCUCUUUUUGUGGGUGGGUUGACGGUAGCUGGAUAAGAAGCGCCGGCUAACUACGUG